AGAAAAAAUUGAUUUAGCCAUGUCCAAUAUAGAGCAUCGAUGUCAAAGUUCAAAGCUGUGAGAAAGUAGUAGAAGAAGUGAGAAGGGAAAUUGGGAGACCAAAAAUGAUGUAAAAGGAAGUAGUAAGACAAGAUUUAUAAUUCCUGGAUAUCAAUGUGGAAUUGAUUUCAAAUAAGAUUAAAUAACAAAAAUUAUUUAUAUAGCUGACUCCAACUAGUUUGAAAUUAAAACUUAUUUAUUAUUAUUCUUG
rnacentral:misc_RNA from 1 species